UCUGAUUUUUUUCUCGUUUCU
rnacentral:piRNA from 1 species